rnacentral:snRNA from 1 species
GUGCUUGCUUCAGCAGCACGUAUACUAAAAAUUGGAACAAUACAGAGAAGAUUAGCAUGGCCUCUGUGCAAGGAUGAAACAAAUUCGUGAAGUAUUCCAUAUUAAA